rnacentral:rRNA from 1 species
CCUACGGGAGGCAGCAGUGAGGAAUAUUGGUCAAUGGGCGAGAGCCUGAACCAGCCAAGUCGCGUGAGGGAGUACUGCCCUAUGGGUUGUAAACUUCUUUUAUAUGGGAAUAAAACGUUCCACGUGUGGGAUUUUGUAUGUACCAUAUGAAUAAGGAUCGGCUAACUCCGUGCCAGCAGCCGCGGUAAUACGGAGGAUCCGAGCGUUAUCCGGAUUUAUUGGGUUUAAAGGGAGCGUAGGUGGAUUGUUAAGUCAGUUGUGAAAGUUUGCGGCUCAACCGUAAAAUUGCAGUUGAAACUGGCAGUCUUGAGUACAGUAGAGGUGGGCGGAAUUCGUGGUGUAGCGGUGAAAUGCUUAGAUAUCACGAAGAACUCCGAUUGCGAAGGCAGCUCACUGGACUGCAACUGACACUGAGGCUCGAAAGUGUGGGUAUCAAACAGGAUUAGAUACCCUAGUAGUC